UACGUAGGGUGCGAGCGUUGUCCGGAAUUACUGGGCGUAAAGAGCUCGUAGGUGGUUUGUCGCGUUGUUCGUGAAAACUCACAGCUUAACUGUGAGCGUGCUUCCGAUACGGGCAGACUUGAGGUAUUCAGGGGAGAACGGAAUUCCUGGUGUAGCGGUGAAAUGCGCAGAUAUCAGGAGGAACACCGGUGGCGAAGGCGGGUCUCUGGGCCGAUACUGACGCUGAGGAGCGAAAGCGUGGGGAGCGAACAGG
rnacentral:rRNA from 1 species